rnacentral:lncRNA from 1 species
CGGACACGGCGCUUUAAAAGGAGUGUUGAGCCAAGUGUCGACGAUUUCCUUAGCGGUAUCGGCGGACGUUGACAUGCCGGAGAGUGCCAAGACGUUGCAGUUAUUGAUGGAGCGAUUGUUGCGAGCUUCGUCCGGAGUGAGACAUGUGGUGGCGAACACGCCGGGGAAUUUGUUGGCGAAGAUCCCGACUCCGACGCCCGUUCCGCAAGCAAGGAGGCCACGGGUCUCCAAGGAGGGCGAGGUGGUGGCGGAAGAUACUCGACGGCCGACUUCAGCACCGAUGUUGUAGUAGGAGGUGAUUCCGAGAUCUUCGACUUCUAUGUUGAGGGAGCGGAGGUGGGAUACCAUGGCGUCUUUUAGCUCGGCGCCAAAAGAAUCAGCUCCGGCGAUGACUUUUAGGGGGGAAGACGCGGUGGCGGAAUCGGCCAUGAUGCGGCUGUGGGAGGUAGAGAGUAACUAAAGUGAGCUUAAGAAG